GAUGAAGAACGUAGCAAAAUGCGAUACGUAAUGUGAAUUGCAGAAUUCAGUGAAUCAUCGAAUCUUUGAACGCACAUUGCACUCCUUGGUAUUCCGAGGAGUAUGCCUGUUUCAGUAUCAUGAGCACUCUCACAUCUAACCUUUGGGUUAAAAUGUGGAAUUGGGAUGCGCCGGUUAUUAUAACGGCCCUCCUAAAAUUCAGUUCUUGGCUGCUUCCUACUACAGCAGUUUGGCCUAAUAGUUUUGAGUCUUCGAUUCAAAUCUUUGGCUAACAUUUGCUUCAGGAUGUCAGUCUUGAUAUACAGAAAUCUCAUUCAAACUUUGAUCUGAAAUCAGGUAGGGCUACCCGCUGAACUUAAGCAUACAAUAAGCGGAGGA
rnacentral:misc_RNA from 1 species